rnacentral:rRNA from 1 species
AACGAACGCUGGCGGCAUGCCUAACACAUGCAAGUCGAACGGGAUCCUGGCUUCGGCCAGGUGAGAGUGGCGGACGGGUGAGUAACGCGUGGGAACCUGCCCAUUGGUCUGGGAUAACUGCGGGAAACUGCAGCUAAUACCGGAUGUACCCGAGAGGGGAAAGAUUUAUCGCCGAUGGAGGGGCCCGCGUCAGAUUAGGUAGUUGGUGAGGUAACGGCUCACCAAGCCUACGAUCUGUAGCUGGUCUGAGAGGAUGAUCAGCCACACUGGGACUGGGACACGGCCCAGACUCCUACGGGAGGCAGCAGUGGGGAAUAUUGGACAAUGGGCGAAAGCCUGAUCCAGCAAUGCCGCGUGAGUGAUGAAGGCCUUAAGGUUGUAAAGCUCUUUUACCCGGGAUGAUAAUGACAGUACCGGGAGAAUAAGCCCCGGCUAACUCCGUGCCAGCAGCCGCGGU